GAGUCCCACCAUCCACCAGUGAUACCUAGCAGCAUGUAGUGGCUACCCAGCAGAACGGAAUGAUGAACCUCUAGGUGCAGUUAACGUGUGAUACAGUCCUACUAUCGUGGAUCCCUACAGGACGGAGGUCAUGGACAACUCGUCAAACCCCAUCGUCUGUCAUAUGUCAAGAUUUAUUCGACUUGAGUUUGAUAGUGGAAAACUCUUUUUCCACUUUAUAUCACUGCCCUGGCCAAGGUCUUAGAACUCAGUCUAACAAAUCACAUAGGAUCACUCCUCUCCUAUCAAGGUCGAUAGAUUCCUUAUAGGUGCAUACCCUACUCCUAUAGUGAACCUACUGCAGCCAAUCUACAUUGCAUGGACCCAUAUGGCUAGAGACCAUGUAUGUGUGCAGUCAAACUACAAUAACCUCACUGUGAGUAGCCGAAGCACCGCAGGUCAAAGGACCAGUCACACUACUGCAACAUCAAGCAAGUCACUGACGAGUGGAUAGACAUCCAAGUGACUUCUUGUCUUGGUCACGCUUAGUACCCUUGUUCUCUAACAAGCACCUGCACUAUCACUUCAGUGUCCCUACACUGUGGACUCAAGUCUCGUCCAUCCAGAGGGAAAGUGAUCUGUGCACUGAUCGGAUCGAUCACCGUCCUCGUGAUGAUCCAUUGAUCAGGAGCAUUUAGAAAUUAAUCACCAAAGAUACAUGGCUCAAAUUCUCAACUCUUGAGAAUAUGUAUCAUCAUCUUAUUAAUUCCUUGGACGAUUCAUAGACACA
rnacentral:lncRNA from 1 species